CCUAACACAUGCAAGUCGAACGAAGGUACCAGAGCUUGCUUUGGUGCCUUAGUGGCGGACGGGUGAGUAACACGUGGGAAUCUACCCAGCAGUGCGGGAUAACUACUGGAAACGGUGGCUAAUACCGCAUACGCCCUCGGGGGUAAAGUUUUUCGCUGUUGGAUGAGCCGCGCCCGAUUAGCUAGUUGGUGGGGUAAAAGCCCACCAAGGCUACGAUCGGUAGCUGGUCUGAGAGGAUGAUCAGCCACACUGGGACUGAGACACGGCCCAGACUCC
rnacentral:rRNA from 1 species